rnacentral:rRNA from 1 species
GACGAACGCUGGCGGCGUGCUUAACACAUGCAAGUCGAACGAAGUGGCGAACGGGUGAGUAACGCGUAGUCAACCUGCCCUUCAGAGGGGGACAACAGUUGGAAACGACUGCUAAUACCGCAUACUGAAGGAAGGGAUUGCGUCGGAUUAGCUAGUUGGGGGGGUAACGGCCCACCAAGGCGAAGAUCCGUAGCCGGGCUGAGGGGAUGAAUGGCCACAUUGGGACUGGGAAACCGCCCAGGAUCCUACGGGAGGGAGCAGUGGGGAAUCUGCCGCAAUGGACGAAAGUCUGACGGAGCAACGCCGCGUGAGUGAUGACGGCCUUCGGGUUGGAAAGCUCUGUUAAUCGGGACGCGGUACCGGAAUAGAAAGCCACGGCUAACUACGUGCCAGCCGCCGCGGUAAUUC